UGUGGGAUCUUCCCGGACCAGGGCUCGAACCCGUGUUCCCUGCAUUGGCAGGCGGAUGCUUAACCACUGUGCCACCAGGGAAAUCCCUCUAUGUGGUUCUUAACUGAUGCUGCCCACCCGGCUGAGGAGCAGCCCUCCUAUUCACAAUUGACCAAUAAGUCUCUUGCAGGAUUUUAAUUCUUUCCUGGUGACUGAAGACAGAAGACAUAAAACCUGGAAAACACCUAGAGGAUAAAAAUGACAUGCAGGGAGAAGUAGCAGAGAAAACUCUGCUGUUUGCAUUCCUGGAUCCAGUAGUAAAGAGUCCUGUAUUUCUGAAGCUUUUGUAGUCAAACCUUCCGUGAGUGCUUCCAAGAGGCUAUGACUUUGCAUCAAAUCAACUUGAGCUGGGCUUCUAUCACUUCUAAUCUAACAGUGCAAAUUAACAAGGAGAAACUGAGACUCAAGAGUAUUCAAGUCACUCAUUCAAGGUCACAGCAGGUGAGAGAGCAAGGCGGAGUCAAGUUCAGCUGUGUCAGGCCUAUGUCCUUUUCACCAUGCAGAAGGGCUUCCCAGCAGAGCUAACCCAGGUGAAGUUUCUAGAGUUAGAAGAAAAAAAAGUCGACAUUAAUUAAGAUGUUUGGAGAUACAAAAGAAAGCAUAUUUAUAUAAUAAAGCCUGUUAAGCUGAGCUUGUUGGGACCAGUCCAGAUGCUAAGUAACACAGGUCAAGGUCAGAGCAAAAAGUGCAGGAAAAAAAGAGAUUUACAAGACAAGCACAGUGAGAGGAAGCACUCCUCACUUUGAUGUGAGGUCCAGGAAGAAGCCUCUCGUUUCCUUGCCAUUUUUGUCUCCCAGUUUAAUAAAACAUUGCUGUAAUUUUUUUUAUAUUUGGGAACUUUUCUUUCUGUUUAUCAAAGUGAUACAUGUUCAUCAUAGAAACUUGGGAAAGUAUAAAGAGGUAGGGGAAAAUCACCAGUAAUCCCACCUUAAGGGAACUGUUAAACUUUUGAAAUAUUUUCUUUGAGAUAUUGCUAUGUAUUUUUACACAGUACAACUUUAUAUACUGGCCUUUUUCUCCCCCUUGUUAAUGGUAGAGCAUACGCAUUUUUCCAGGACAGUACUGUUUGCUGAAAGAAAUUGUGGGCACUAAGGCAUUAAUAGGAUAUUUUAGAGGCUUCCUCUAGAAGCACCUAGAAGAGUGUCUAGUUCCUAGAAGCAUGGUAUUAGGUGGACAAUACCUAAAAGAAGCAGACAUACCCUGAGAUAAGGGUAAGGGCCCUUAGGUCUUCGGUGAUAGGGAGCCAGCCAGGGUGUGUGUGUGGGGGGGGUGGUGGUGCAUGGAGGUGGGAAUGGGGAAGUACCAUCAGGAAGAGGUGGCCGAUAGGGGGUGCAUUCUAGAAUGUGGCCACUAAGGGGGUGCAUUCUUAAACCAGCUCCACAGUGAGCCACUGAAGCUCAAUCCUGGAGAAGCUUUGAGAAAUGGUAUAGAACACCUCACACUUCAGAAUUAUCCCAGUCAAGCUCCCAGGAGGGAGGGGAAAUAUUCAUAGCCCUGAAAAACCUCCCUCAACAACAUGCCUAGAAAUGCUUAAAAAAUAAAUAGUACACAUUUAAAUGCUUUGGUUAUUAUAGGAAAAUAAGGAAAUGCCCAGGCUGUAAAGAACAGAACACUCAAGUGGCGUAACCAAGAUAGAAAUUUAUUUUUCUUACGUGUAAAAGAAGUCCUAGACCAGAGGUGAGCUGCCAGAGCUGAGAUGGGUUCCCUUGUCAUCAAGAGUCCAGGCUUCUCAGUGCUGCCUUCUAAUGGGUGAUCAGUCCACUUGGUAAAGGCACUUGAGGAAGAAUCAUCCAAGUAGGUAAGCAGAACCUUCCCUCAAUGGUACCGGAAAUCUGUGUCAAUAUAUACCCAGGGCUAAGACAGCUGUGUUCAACCAAAAGAUCUUCGUGUUAAGAAGUACACAUGUUAAUGGGCGGAGGACACUGUCCUGUCAGGCGGGUCUGGAGCUGAGAAUCAUUGCAUUGAGCACAGGGUCACUGAGAAGGCGGGACAAACGUCCUCAGGAAGAGGGCAAAGAGGCCUUUUCUAAGUCAGGUGAUGAGACCAAAGGAAUGGGAGGCAGUUACCUGGAGAAAGUCCAUCUUACUACUAUUCUCUGUGCUUGUCAAACGCUGGAUUUGGAGGUCAAUUGGUAACAGCAACACUCAUGAAAAAGUGGCUGAGGGUUUGGACAGUGCGGCGGGGCAGUCAUUGGUAUUUCUGCAGGAUCAAACGGGGUAGGAUGGGGUAGGAUUGGGGAGGAAAAGUGGGUAGGGGUAGGCUGCCUGCUUUCCCCAGUGAUUAGACCUGCCAAAGUAAAUAAAAUUGAGUACUUGGCCAAUAAACGCUCCCUAACAACUAUUGCUUAUCUUUGAGAAGUAAAAGAAAGUAUUUGAUCUCUUGGAAUUUGAUCCCCACGUAAAUAUCCGCUAUAGUCACAAGAGCUGGGGGCUGGGGACAGAGGAGAAGACGCCUUUGCUGCCUGAGGAAGGCUCCGCGCAGCCUCUGUUGAGCGUGGCGUGUGUUAGGUGUGUGUUAAGCGAAAACACCGCUACAUAUUCUUGUUGCUUAACUGGAUACAACUCUGCUUGGAAGUUAAGGUUGACUUGUGUCCUUUGGCUCUUUUCUUACUUUCUGAUUCACUUCUUCAAAUUGCUGUCUAACAUCUCCUUCAGUCUGCUGUCAGCUUGUCUCUUCAUUUACAGGGAAAAUGGAGGCCAUCAGAUGUGAACUGUCAAAUCAUUUCCUGUCUUGGAGGAAAAAAAUGACCCCUCACCCUUCCAAGGUUAGACACCCACUCCGCAACUGCAGGGGAUUUUGUGGGAUUGUCUCUCUCUGUCUCUGUCUCUCCUACCUCCUCCCUCCCGUCUUCUCCAACCUCUCCUCUCCAUCUGUCGUGAUUCAGCCACAAGUUCAAGCCUUACCAGCCCAUAAGAAACACUUCCCUUGAGUUCACCUUUCUGCUCAAAAAACUGUCUAGUCUCUUGUCUUCCCAGACCCUUAGGGAAUGUUCUUUGAAGAGUAGUCUGUGAACAAUACUGGCGUGCAUGCUCCAUGAGCCCAGGAGUCUGUGUUUUGUUUACUGCCCUACCCUUGAGGCCUGGACAGUGCCUGAUACGUAAUAGGUGCUUGAUAAGUAUUUGUGGAGUAAAUGAACAAAUGCCUUCACUUUCCAUUCAUUUUCCCUGCUAUCCUCACCACUCCAUUGAAAACACUCAUAAUAACGUCAUGGGUCCCAUCCCAAUUACCAGAUCCAGUGGCCUCUUUUCAGUCCUUGUUCUAGUUGAUCCUCCUGUAGAAUUUGGGAUGGUUGAGCCCUUGAUGCUUGAAACCCAAGCUUUCUCUUCUGGUGCUAUUUUUCUGUCUCAGAGUGGGGUUUUUUUUCCCCAUUUUCUUCAUAGUCUCCACUUUCUGUUCUUUUCUUUUUUUUUCUUUAAGGAGGAAUGCUUGGCACUCUUCCAUCCAUGCCAGAGAUAUCUGGUGGUGAUCAACAGCGGCAAUGAUGUAUAAAUCUACAUAUCUUUACGAUUCUAGAUCCUGCUUCCUCUCUGACAUCCAGAAUGAUGUAACUCUGGGUGUCUUCACUUGGAUGUCCUUGUGAAGGUCAUCCACUUGGAGGUUCUUCAAACUUAAUGUAUUUGAAAUUGAACUCCCCCUCUACCUUCCCAAACCUCUUCUUUUUCUCAUGUAUUUCCUGAUUCAAUGUUUUCACCACCUCCCCAGCCUCCCAGGCUAGACACUGUAGGGUCAUCACUGGUGUGUCCCUUUCAGUUGGUCACUAAACCAUGUAGAUCCAGAAACAUCUCUCAGCCCCAGCACCCUCUCUUCAUCCCUACCACCUUAGUGCCAGCCCUCAUCCGCUCUCCCCGAGAUGAGGUCCAUCUGGUCUCCCUGUCUCCCUCAUUUUUACUACCUUCCCCUUCGACCACAAUAAUGUGAAUAAAGCACAAGUCUUAGCAUGUCUCUUCCCUACUGGAAACACCUUCAGUACCUCGCUAUUACUUGUUCAACAGGUUUCAGUUCCAUGGAUACCUUUCCAACCUAUUAACAAUUUGCUAACAUCGCCUGGUGCAGCUCGGCCAGUCUCCCCCUACCCCCCAACCCUGCCAGGGUCUCUGAUGUCUUUGUUUCCUGGGCUAUGCUUGCUGCUUAGAAUGUCCUCUCACCUCUUCUUGACUUUGCAAAGUGCUACCCAGGCUUGAAGACCCAAUGUUGUAGGCCCAAUGCUUUUCAUUUCGGUGAACUUUCCCCUCCCCCUCCACAUGAUUUCUUUCUCCUUGGCACUCCUGAAAAAAGAAUCCAUUCUGCUGUAGUUGAAUGUUUGUUUCCUAAUAAACCUCUUUUAUCAAGUUCAUAUUAGACAAAUAAUAAUUUCAGUGGGGAAAAGGGCAUAAGACCCACAAUAAUUUAUCUGUUCUCUUAUAGGAAACUUAAUAAUCAGAGCAGUCACAGAUCCAAGCGAUGAAGAAAACGAAAUACAAUAGCUGAUGAUUAUUGAGUAGUUAUGACCUGACUGGCCCUGUUCAAGACCCAAUUAGCAAAGCUCAGAUAUGAAUUCCCGAGUUAUGAAGUCUCUUCAGAGUACAAAGAAGAUGGCUGAAAGCUGCUCAUUUGUUUAUUCAAUAAGCACUUCCUGAGGGUUUAUGUGCCAGGUAAUUGUGCUAAGCAUGGGGAUACAUAUGAGUGAGAGAGCCCUGCACUUCUAGAAUUCUGUGCCAUGUUCGUACUCUACUCUAACAGGCAGGCACAGAGGCCAAAAUAACCUCUGAAUCUUCAAAAAGGGCCUGAGACUUGAGAAGGUACUAUAGCCUUGCUUCAGUGUUGGUUUCUGGAAGUUUCCAUUAGGUCUGAAACUGAAAAUGUUUCUUCACUAUAUUACUCCAAUAACUUAUAAUAAGACAUACUAGGCCUUUCCUCUUCAGACUAAGACUUGAUCUGUGUAUAUUGGCUAUCAGAAUUCUGCUACCUUGUGCAUUUUCAAUUUAGAUUCACUGAAGUGAAAAUAGAAAAAGAAAAAAUUAUGAAGUAUAAUAAAAACCAAAUUAAUAUCCCUACAGACUACACUUCCCCCUCAAUUUUUUUGGACAGUUGAUAGAAAUGUAGAUUGUGAGCAUUUAACACCAUUAAAAAGAGGAAAAUGAAUGAAGUUGGGUAAACCAUGUACAUGAUUGCAAUAAUUUUUUUUUCCUCCCUAGAUCACUUAUUUAUAUUACCCACUAUUAUUUUCAGCUUAUUUAAUCCUUCACAGCUCCCACUUCAUAAAGAAAUACAGAUCAACUGUACUUAUAAUCAAGUGCCCUCAGACCUGAGGUAAUCUGAAGUCAGUGGAAGUUGGCUUGAAAAUCUGAAAAGUUGCUUCCCUGGAGCCAGUGCCCAGGUAUGUCCAUUCAGUCGCUCAUUCAAUUACAACAAACCUAAACAUAGUCUGCUUCGGACUGUGUAGUUCAGUUUUAACCUGUCCCUGCUGGAAGGAAAGUGAACAGAAAAUUGUGCCUGAGCUAAAAACUGUGACUGAUGAUUUCAAUAGUUUCUUGCUUUUUUUUUUUUUUUAAAGAAUUGAAUGCUUUGCACUGACUCUUCAUUCAGUACAGACAACUACGUUUUUCAGUUGCUUGGGAUUUAGUCAUUUUAGAAAUAAGGUGAUUUAUUUUCUGCCCCCAAGAAUUUCAUCAGUGUUCUCUGUUGUUUUUAUAACAAACUCUAGAGAUUUGUCAGUCCUUGUUGGCAGGAUGAAACUUGGCUGUUGGUGGCAACAAUGAAAUUUCCUGGCACAGACACAAGGGAAGCAGAAGAGGCAACAACACCACUAGAGCCAAGAAGUUAACGUCAUUUGGAAAAAACAUGCUUUGUUACAUCACUUAGAGUAAUAGUUAAUAUAAACAUACUAUUAUGUUUAUAAUCAAAUUUGUCAAGGUUGAUUAUUGAUCUAAAACAUGUAAUUCUGAUGAUAAAUGUUCAAAUUAAUCUAAAAAAAUCUAUUUCUAUAUGAUGGAUACCCACAAACAAGGUAUACAUAAUGUAUUGGUUUUGGACAUAUUUUCCCACAUGAUAUAUAUGUAUUGUUUACAUGUUAAAAAUAUCAAGGAGAUUAAAAGGACAUCAGGGAGAUUGCUAAGAUCUGCUGCAUGAGUUAGACAAGUAGCAGCUUAUGCACAGCUUCCCCUAUGUUAGCUCUAAUUCCAUCCCUUGGCUCUUCAGGAGUACUGCUUUGCCUUGCUUUGGAAUGGUUAGACAGAUGAAAGGAGGAUAGUAUUUGCAAUCAGACGACCUUGCUUCCAGGCCUGGUUCCACCAUAAACUAGCUGUGUGACCUUAGAUAAGUAGGUUACUUUUCUGAGCUUGUCUCCUCAUCUGUAAAACAGAUGGCCAGGAGUCAUGCGUGAAAACCCAUAGCAAAUGUCAUACUUAAUGGUAAAAUACUGAAAGCUCUUCCUCUAAGAUCAGGAAUAAGACAGGAUGCCCACUUUUAUCACUUCUAUUCAACAUAGUACUGGCAGUUCUAGCCAGAGCAAUUUGCAAGAAAAAGAAAUAAAGGCAUCCAAAUUGGAAAGGAAGAGGUAAAAUUAUCUCUGUCCAUAAAUAAUAUGAUCUUGUAUGUAGAAAACCCUGAACUGCUAGAGCUAAUAAUUCAGCAAAAGUAGCAGGAUAAAAAGUCAAACACAAAAAUCAGUUGCAUUUCUAUAUUCUAAAAAUGAACAAUCUGAAAAGAAAAUUAUGAAAACAACUCCAUUUACAACAGCAUCAGAAAGAAUACAAUACUUAGGAAUUAACCAAGAAGAUGAGCUACUUGUACAGUGAAUAAAUCACUGCUGAAAGAAAUUAAAGAAGACACAAUAAAUGGAAACACAUCCCAGGUUCAUGGUCUGUUAAGGUGUCAAGACUACCCAAAGCAAUGUAUAGAUUCAGUGCAAUCCCUAUCAAAAUUCCAAAGGCAAUUUUUGCAGCAACAGGAAAAACCAUCCUAAAAUUCAAGUGGAAUCUCAAGGGAGCCCAAAUAGCCAAAACAAUCUGGGAAAAAGAAGAAAAAAACCUGAGAACUCAUGCUUCCAGAUUUCAAAGUUUUCUACAAAGCUACAGUAAUCAAAAAGUGUGGUAACUGGUAUAAAGACAGACAUAUAGACCAAUGGAAUAGAAUAGAGAGCCCAUAAAUAAACCCUGGAAUAUAUGGUCAAAUGAUUUUUGACAAGAGUGUUAAGCCAUUCAAUGGCAAAAGGAUAGUUUUUUCAACAAAUGAUGCUGGAAUCCACAUGCAAAAAAAUGAAGUUGAAUCCUUACCUAACACCAUAUUCAACAAUUAACUCAAAUUGGAUUAAAGACUAAAUGUAGGUCCUAAAGCUAUAAAACUAACUAUAAAACUCUUAGAAGAAAACAUAGAACAAAAGCUUCAUGACAAUGGACUUGGCAGUGGUUUCUUGGAUACGACACCAAAGGGACACACAACAAAAUAAAACAUAGUCAAAUUGGACUUCGUGAACAUUAAAAUAUUUUGUGCAUCAAAAUACAACAUCAACAGGGUAAAAAGGUAACCCACAGAAUGGGAGAAAAAUAUCUGCAAAUCAUUGAUCUGAUAAGGGAUUAGCAUCCACAAUACACAAAGAACUCAUAAAACUCAAUACAAAUAGCAUUCAAUACAAAAAGCAACCCAAUGAAAAAAUGGGCAAAGGACUGGAAUAGACAUUUCUCAAAAGAUAUACAAAUGGCCAAUAAGCACGGAAAGAUGCUCAGCAUCAGUAAUCAUUAGGGAAAUUUAAAUCAAAACCACAUUACCACCUCACAGCCACCGGGAUGGCUACUAUCCAGGAAAAAAAAAAAGAAGAGAAAAGACGUGUUGGGGAGGAGGUGCAGAAACUGCAACCCUUGUGCACUGCUGGUGGGACUGCAAAGUGGUGCAGCCGCUCUGGAGAACAGUAGGGAGGUCCCUCAAAUAACUAAGACUAGAACUACCAUAUGACCCAGCAAUCCCACUUCCGGGUAUAUAACCGAAAGAACUAAAAGCAGAAUCCUGAGAGAUAUUUGUACACCCAUGUUUAUAGCAGCAUUAUUCAUAAUAGCUAAGACUUGGAAGCAACUUAAGUGGUCCACUGACAGACGAACGGAUAAGCAAAAUUUGGUAUAUGCACACAAUGAAGAGCCUUAAAAAGGAAGGAAAUUCUGGCACAUGAGACACGGAUGAAACUUAAGAGGACUGUGCUACGUGAAAUAAGCUAGUCACAAAAAGACAAACACUGUAUGAUUCCACUUAUAUGAGAUCCUCAGAGUAGUAAGAGAGACAGAAAGUAACAUGGUGGUUGCCAAGGGCUGGGGGCAGGGAGAAAUGGGGAGUUGGUAUUUAAUGGGAACAGUUUCAAUUUUACAAGAUGAAAAGAAUCGUGGAGAUGAAUGGUGGUGAUAGCUGUAUGACAUUAUGAACGUAUUUAAUACCACUGAAGUGUUCACUUAAAAAUAGUUAAGGUGGUAAAUUUUAUGUGGUAUUGUGGUAUUUUACCACCACAACAAAAAAAGUUGAAAAAACCCCCAAAAACCCCAAACAGGUGGAUAGGCUAGGAAUGGUCUCUCAUCUGGUCAUAUAAGGCUAAAAUGAGCUAAUGCUGUGAAAACAUUUUUGUAAACUGAAAUAUACCACAUUACACACUGAUCUAGAUUUAUUUGAACACUUAUCAUUAUAUGUUUUAGAUCAAUGUGCCUGACAUAUUACCCUUAAACAUGAAUAAAAAUGUUUAAAAAAAUCACAACCAUGUAUAAUUUUCAGUGUUCACUUUUCAUCCUGAAGUAAAAAUUUUGUUUUUAUUAUGUUCUGAAGCUUAUGAAUACAUAAUUAAAAAAAAUAAAGGUAGAAUUUCUUUAAUUAUAGCUGGAUUAGCAUAGUUAAGUGAGUAGUGAAUAGUCAAAAGUAUCUUCGUCAAGGAAAAUUUGCGAACCAAUUGAAAUUCAGUAAUUAUUCUUAAACAACUAGCAAGUAGCACAACAAAUAGAUUAGCACCUAACUCAAACAAUAUAAAGUGCGUGUGUGUGUGUGUGUGUGUGUGUGAGAGACAAAUAAUACACAGCUUCUGAGGCUAAGAUGUGUACAUAAAGUGAAGAGUAAUGAAGGUGGAAGCUUGUCCUUUUAUUUUACUGCAACAAUAGUCGCAUGUGUCAAGAAAGAUAUACCCGAUAAUGUUGACAAUUAAGUACUAUUCAAGCGUUAACUUCGUGUUAUUUACUGAUUUUACAGUGGGACAGAAAAUUGUAAAUACUUUUCACUGUCAAAAGCUUUCCUGUUUCUAUGGAAUUUGGUCUUAGAUAUCAUUAACUUAAUAGGAAGGCUUUCAUUUUAAAUGUCUUAUUAUAAUUAAAAAAUACCUUACUAGAGGUAGCUUUUCAAAUUCUAAAAUAAAAUUAAGAAGGUACUACGGAAUCUUGUUAUUUUUAUAGUUAAUUUAGAACAAGCUAAGGUUUCCUAGUACUUGCCUCUUGUAAUCUGAAAACAACAGGGAUUUUCUUUUCCGUACAGGCAGCUAUGAAGUUAUCAGGUAGUAGCUGUCCAUCUGAAAGGAACUGGUCAUCUUUUCCUUGAUCAAUUAGUAUAUCCAGCUGAGUACCUGGGCAGGCCUUCACAAGAUGGGUAGCAUCAUAAGCCUAUAAAAAGGGGAGAAAUAAUGAAAAAUAAAUUUGAAAGUGCCCAGAAAGAUAUUCUGCAGAAUACCCUAUACUAGAACUGAAUAGAAAUUUAAAGUCAUUUCAGCUCUAAGGCUGAUUAAAUUGAAAAUAUGCUUUUAAGUUGGCUUGUCUGGUUUUUAUUUACAGGCCUUCAGAAUUCUAUCGUCAAUUACAGCUUCUUCCCUACUUUCAACCAGUCCUAGACCAACGGCAAGAAUUCUAUAUCUCAAGUAUUCUUCAUAGUAUAUAGCCUUUUUUCUUCCAAACCUUUAAGGUUUAAUCACCUCUCAACUCCAAGAAAACCAAUUUGUUUUCUUUGUAAAUCCUUUUACAAACUGAUUAUUUCUUCUAACUCCAUUAUCUUUUUCUAUUUCCAAAUAUUCUCUAUUUCAAAUAAAUAGUCUAUUUUUUGUCCCUUCUUUUUGACUUAUUCCAGACAUAAAUCUCUCUUUUGCUAUCUGCUGAAUGGCACCAAAUGUCCAUCUCCAGGAACUUUCAGGAAGACUUGAUUUGAACAAUCUGAAUCAUAUCAACAACUCAAAUUUAUUAUGUGAGGAGCUGCCACUAGUUACAAUUUUCUAUUUUACCAUCCAUCUUUAAAUAUUGAUUAUUCAUGUAUAUUCACUAAUGACAACUUUUAUGCAUUGAUCAAGACACACAAAAACCAAAAGAUUUCCCCUUCUAAAGUAGCAUGCUUUUUAAGACUUGCUUUUUUUAAUCUUAAAAGGAGAGGGUGGAAGGACACCUAUAAAGUCCAACUAGUUCUAAGUUCCACGAUUUCAUAAUUCUGCAUGGCCUCCUUAUUCCAAGAGUAAAUUAAAUGAUAGCCUAAACACUGCAUAAUUAAAAUAGUAAAAUCUACUGCCAUUUGGAGAAAAAUGAUACAGAUUCCUUUAUAGGGUACCUCUCCCCUACUUCUCCCAAUCAGUUGGUCUUUUACUCAAAACUUCUAUUAGACCAUAAGGCCCCUGUGGACGGGAAAGGGUCAUCACCUUCUUGACAUAAGAUCUCAAAACCCCACACAAACUCUGCACAUGGUGAGGACUCAAAACACUGAGGCACAAGCACUGUCAAUGCACUGUCCCCAAAGUAACUAAUAGUAAUAAUUUUCAGCAUUCUUCCAAUAUAAUAAAAAUCUAAGACUAAGCAAAACAAAACUCUAAUGACUAAAAGAUUAACCUUCCAAUUUGUCAGAAUUUCAAUGACCAAUCUUAAAUAAAAUAGGGGUCCAUGUGUAAAUGACUUUGAAUAAACAGCAAUAAGACAAAAAAGGUUUUUUCCCACUCGACGAUUUUCUACUUGCUAACAUGCACAUGAUGAUGAGUUAGUUCACCUGCAAAAUAUUCAAACUCUUGGUGGAGUUUUCAAAUAGCCCAUUUCUGCACAAGAGCAAAUCAGUCUCAGGAAAAAAGGGCCAUUUUUAUUUUCAUUUAGAAGCAUCUGCUCCUAUGCGUGCAAAAGCAAUCUUACUGUUGGAAAUAUUCUCAUGAAUGUAUAUUACAUACACAAUAUCUAUUUUUAAAAGCUUUUAAGUCUAGAAUUUAAAAUCCAAAUCUGAGAGAUGCUAGACUUUGAAACAGAUACACAAAAUAAAAAGCCAGGCCUUGUAGUUCUUAUCAUACAAUUUAAGCACACAGUUAAUAUGAGGUAAGUCUAAAUUCAGUAAUAUGGGGUAUUUUUUGUGAUGUUAAUUUAGAAGAUAAACAUAUAAAUUAAUCAUUAGCAGAAAAAAAAUGUAGCCGCAGAAUAUCUCCCAUAAUUCAAUGCAAUUGAAAUACUGCUCUCUGUUGUUGUUGUUAUUGUUAUAUGUAUACACUUUAAUUAUUUUUUGAUCUGAAUCCUUAACUUGAGUAAGUUAAGAAUAUAACGUCUGUAGUGUGUAGCUUUUUAACAAAUUUGAAAACUUAAGAAUGAGUUAUGAAGACCGCCAUCCAGUACCUACCUCCCAUUUACUUUGAUCUGUUCCCAAAUAUCCACUAAAGGCUUUUUUGCCCCAAGGACAGAGCACUGGGUUGCAAAUUGGAGCAAACGCUGACACAGACUUCAGAAACAAACAAACAAAAAAAUUAAAAACAAGUUUUAUUUUGCUAAAUUGAAUAUGAACAGGUAUUUACAACUUGCUUAAAAACUCUGACUUGCCAUGAAAAUCCCUGUGACCAGUUUUCCUUUUGCUAUAUUAUGGGCUUAGAUUAUAUGCCUCUCCAAGAUACCACAUCCUUUGUGUGUUCUAAUAAAAGAGCUACAUUUUCACGUAGGCACAAUGAAAGUUUAUGUUCAGCGUUUCUACUCAUUUUUCCUACAUUUUCAUGUAGGCACAAAUGAAAGUUUAUGUUCAGCGUUUCUACUCAUUUUUUCCACUUAAAACAGUGGAAAAUCAAAGUCAACUUUACAAGAAUAUUCCCGGUAAAAGUAAAUGAUAACAUACUGUCACAAUAACAUUAAUCAAUAAUAACUUUUAGGGAAAAAAAGCCUAGAAAACUAUAGUUUGAAUAGAAGCAAUGAAAGCUGCUUUAUAAUACCUCUAAUAGACCAAUGAGAAACCACUGGGAUAAAAUUCCUAUACUUCUGAUUCUGUAGCAUUGUAUUGUAUGGUCAAAUUUAAUGCUCUUUCCCCACAAACCCCUUGAAAUUCCCAAGACUAGAAAAGUUUAGUCCCAAUACUAAAACAACAGUAUCUUAAUUUCAAUCUUUGAAAGUUCCUAAUAUUAUACUAUUCAAGAGAAAUAUCUGUCACUAGAAGCUUAGGUAAUCUUACUUUGUAUUUUCCAGGGUUCUUCAAAGCACAAAUCAGAGCUCCAUGGCCCCCCAUGGAGUGGCCAAAAAUAGACAUCCUUUGGGGAUCCACUGGAAAAUUGGUAUUUAUGAGUUGUGGAAGCUAGAGAGAAUUUAAUAGUGGGACAAGAGAUAUGACAGAAAUAAGUUUAGGCUUUUUCAAAGUCAUCUAAAAUAAUCAAUACUUUCAAAUUCACAGUCUUAAAAUGGUUCACACUAGUAAAGAUUAAAAAAAAAGUCAGACAGACAAUGAUCAUUAAUAUAUCACUGGAGAAUAUACGUUACAUCUUCCUUGGAAAGCGACUUUAAGAAGAUAAUGCAGAAAGAAACUUUAAAAUGUAAACUUUUGAUCUAGUAAUUUCACUUCCUGGAAUCUCUUUCUAAGGGAAAAGUCCUUAUGGGUAAAAAAUUAUAAACAAAGAUAAUCAAUGCAGUAAUGCGUAUUAUGGUAAAAAAAAUAUGUAAAUAUAUAAAUAGCCUCCAUUACAAAAAAGUAAAUCACAGCAUAUGACAGAAUAUUAUACAAUUAUUAAAAUUAUGUUACAAAUAGAUCAGAAUAUUAGAAAAUAUUUACUUUAUAUAAUUAAAAAAAGAAGAAGAUAAAAAUGUUUUACUAUUAUAUGAAAACUAGUCACACAAAAAUGUCUGGAAUAUACGAGAAUAUAGUUGUUUGGGGUGACAGAAUUAUGGGUGAUUAAAAUUUUAUAUUAUCGUUUCUGAGUUUCUAUGAUGUGCACAUUAACAAUUAAAAUCAUAGAAAAAUGCAUAAACUGCACACACAUAUUAUUAAUAGAAGCAGUGCUUUACCACUUAUCCUUUUUGAUUUUAAUCACUAUGAAAUAUGUCUGGAUGAACCAGCUGCCAGAAAAUACAGUUUUUUCAUACACUAUUUUCUUUGUAUAACCUGGGUGGUGUAUACAGGUGUCAAUAUAAUUAUUAAACUCUUUAAAAUUGUACGUAGUGUUCAUUUAAAUUGCAGAAAAUAGUACUAUAGUACUUGUAAACUUUGGAAUUUUUACCAAGAUAAUUAAUAAAUAUGUACCCAAUAGAUUCAACAAUACCAUACCCUAGUUUAAAAUUCUCGGCACUGGAAGGACUUUGUGUCCCAAAUCAAACUUUUGGCAGUCAUCAACUAAUAAUUACACUGUAAAUUAAAUUACCUCCUCCGUUACAUACGAGUACAUUCUGUAGUUAGUUUUCCAAGGAUCUUCAGUAGCAUCCACAUAAAAUCCAGCCCCAGAGCCGAAGUCCCAGGUCUCAUCUUCUCCUUUAAUAUUGCAGCCACCUAUUAAGGAAAAAUCUUGUGGUUUCAUCUACUCUGUAGUAAUGGCCCAUGUUUAAUAACACACUUUAAAAUGAACCUGAAAUUUCACUUGCAUUAGAGCUGUUCACCAAGUAUUGUGGGCUCUCUGCGUUUUGGGGUACAUACUUCCUUGCCCCCUUGAGUGCGGUCAUGUGACUAGUUCUAGCCAAUGAGGCAAGAGAGGGAAUGGCCCUCUAGGCCGGGGUAUUCACUGGCUUUCUUCACUGAUGGAGCUCCCUCCUAUGUAUUCUGAACAUAUCUUUCCUCACUCUGUUUUACCUGUCAAAGGGCUUAUACUCUCUUUUUAUCUUUCAGAAAUACGUUGAUUCCUUCUCUGAUGC